rnacentral:rRNA from 1 species
AGAGUUUGAUCAUGGCUCAGGAUGAACGCUGGCGGCGUGCCUAAUACAUGCAAGUCGAACGGAGAGCUUCCGGUAAUUUAUUACUAGAUGCCUCUUAGUGACGAACGGGUGAGUAACGCGUUGGUGACCUGCCUCGAAGUGUGGAACAACUCCGGGAAACUGGAGCUAAUACCUCAUGUGGUCUGUGGAUUUAGAAACCACUUACUAAAGGUCUUCGGAUCGCUUCGAGAGGGGCCUGCGUCCCAUCAGCUAGUUGGUAGGGUAAUGGCCUACCAAGGCGACGACGGGUAGGGGACCUGAGAGGGUGAUCCCCCACAAUGGAACUGAAACACGGUCCAUACACCUACGGGUGGCAGCAGUAGGGAAUAUUGCACAAUGGGCGAGAGCCUGAUGCAGCAACGCCGCGUGUGCGAUGAAGGCCUUCGGGUUGUAAAGCACUUUUCUGAGGGAAGAGGAAGGACGGUACCUCAGGAAUAAGUCUCGGCUAACUACGUGCCAGCAGCCGCGGUAACACGUAGGAGGCAAGCGUUAUCCGGAUUUACUGGGCGUAAAGCGCGUGCAGGCGGUUUGGUAAGUUGGAUGUGAAAGCUCCUGGCUUAACUGGGAGAGGUCGUUCAAUACUGCCAAACUAGAGGACGGUAGAGGAAGGUAGAAUUCCUGGUGUAGUGGUGAAAUGCGUAGAUAUCAGGAGGAAUACCAGAGGCGAAGGCGGCCUUCUGGGCCGUUCCUGACGCUAAGACGCGAAAGCAUGGGUAGCAAACGGGAUUAGAAACCCCGGUAGUCCAUGCCGUAAACGAUGCAAACUGGGUGUUGGUGGUGUAAAAGCCCUCAGUGCCGUAGCUAACGCGAUAAGUUUGCCGCCUGGGGACUAC